UGGGCUGUCGCCAAGCGGUAAGGCACAGCACUUUGACUGCUGCAUCACGUCAGUUCGAAUCUGACCAGCCCAG
rnacentral:tRNA from 1 species